UUGGGCGUAAAGCGCGCGCAGGCGGUCCUUUAAGUCUGAUGUGAAAGCCCACGGCUCAACCGUGGAGGGUCAUUGGAAACUGGGGGACUUGAGUGCAGAAGAGGAGAGCGGAAUUCCACGUGUAGCGGUGAAAUGCGUAGAGAUGUGGAGGAACACCAGUGGCGAAGGCGGCUCUCUGGUCUGUAACUGACGCUGAGGCGCGAAAGCGUGGGGAGCGAACAGGAUUAGAUACCCUGGUAGUCCACGCCGUAAACGAUGAGUGCUAAGUGUUAGAGGGUUUCCGCCCUUUAGUGCUGCAGCAAACGCAUUAAGCACUCCGCCUGGGGAGUACGGUCGCAAGACUGAAACUCAAAGGAAUUGACGGGGGCCCGCACAAGCGGUGGAGCAUGUGGUUUAAUUCGAAGCAACGCGAAGAACCUUACCAGGUCUUGACAUCCUCUGACACUCCUAGAGAUAGGAUUUUCCCUUCGGGGACAGAGUGACAGGUGGUGCAUGGUUGUCGUCAGCUCGUGUCGUGAGAUGUUGGGUUAAGUCCCGCAACGAGCGCAACCCUUGAUCUUAGUUGCCAGCAUUUAGUUGGGCACUCUAAGGUGACUGCCGGUGACAAACCGGAGGAAGGUGGGGAUGACGUCAAAUCAUCAUGCCCCUUAUGACCUGGGCUACACACGUGCUACAAUGGAUGGUACAAAGGGCAGCGAAACCGCGAGGUUAAGCCAAUCCCAUAAAACCAUUCUCAGUUCGGAUUGCAGGCUGCAACUCGCCUGCAUGAAGCCGGAAUCGCUAGUAAUCGCGGGAUCAGCAUGCCGCGGUGAAUACGUUCCC
rnacentral:rRNA from 1 species